rnacentral:tRNA from 1 species
GAAGAAACAAGCUUAAAUAAGCUUUUUAUUUACACUAAAAUGAUUCCAGUUUCCAU